rnacentral:tRNA from 1 species
GGGUGUAGCUCAGUGGUAGAGUUCCUGCUCAGCAUGUGUGAUUCCCUGGGUUCAAUCCCCAGCACAACCA